CUAACACAUGCAAGUCGAACGAGAGAUGAGGAGCUUGCUCUUCAGAUCGAGUGGCGAACGGGUGAGUAACGCGUGAGGAACCUGCCUCAAAGAGGGGGACAACAGUUGGAAACGACUGCUAAUACCGCAUAAGCCCACAGCUCGGCAUCGAGCAGAGGGAAAAGGAGUGAUCCGCUUUGAGAUGGCCUCGCGUCCGAUUAGCUGGUUGGUGAGGUAACGGCCCACCAAGGCGACGAUCGGUAGCCGGACUGAGAGGUUGAACGGCCACAUUGGGACUGAGACACGGCCCAGACUCCUACGGGAGGCAGCAGUGGGGAAUAUUGCACAAUGGGGGAAACCCUGAUGCAGCGACGCCGCGUGGAGGAAGAAGGUCUUCGGAUUGUAAGCUCCUGUUGUUGAGGAAGAUAAUGACGGUACUCAACAAGGAAGUGACGGCUAACUACGUGCCAGCAGCCGCGGUAAAACGUAGGUCACAAGCGUUGUCCGGAAUUACUGGGUGUAAAGGGAGCGCAGGCGGGAGAACAAGUUGGAAGUGAAAUCCAUGGGCUCAACCCAUGAACUGCUUUCAAAACUGUUUUUCUUGAGUAGUGCAGAGGUAGGCGGAAUUCCCGGUGUAGCGGUGGAAUGCGUAGAUAUCGGGAGGAACACCAGUGGCGAAGGCGGCCU
rnacentral:rRNA from 1 species